rnacentral:rRNA from 1 species
UCCUUAGAUGUUCUGGGCCGCACGCGCGCUACACUGACGAAUGCAACGAGCUUAUAACCUUGGCCGAAAGGUCUGGGUAAUCUCCAAAUUUCGUCGUGAUGGGGAUAGAUUAUUGCAAUUAUUAAUCUUCAACGAGGAAUGCCUAGUAAGCGCAAGUCAUCAGCUUGCGUUGAUUACGUCCCUGCCCUUUGUACACACCGCCCGUCGCUCCUACCGAUUGAAUGGUCCGGUGAAGCGUUCGGACCGUGGCCUUUGGACGGUUCGCCGUCUGUUGGCUGCGGGAAGUUCGUUAAACCUUNUNAUUUAUNGGAAGGAGAANUCGUANCA